GUUAGUUAUUCUGUUUUUAGAACCAAUUCCUCCUAAAUGUAAUUGUAUAUAAGAUACAUGAAUAGAACUUGAGGAGGGAUCUAACAUUUGGAAGAUCUCCCCCUUUUCCUGAUAUUACUCUACUUAAAUCUUUCAUAGAUACAAAUGAUAUCAAAAAUUUAUGUAAGGAAUGUUGUAGGCAAAAGCUAAGAAACUGAAA
rnacentral:lncRNA from 1 species